CUGCCCUGAGCAUACUAUGUGAGGAAGCCGAUCUCGGUUUCAGGAGCCAAGUGGCAGGUGAGAAGCCAUGAAAAAGAGAACUAAGCCCCCAGCCCUCCCGGCUGGCCGACAGCCAGCACUGACGACAAACUGAACCACCCUCGUCUAUUCUGAACGGUUAAGAACAUCCCAUCUGCUACAGUGCUGUGCAGCAUCCUCACCACAGGAGUGAUCACCUGACCCAGGAAAUUCUGAAAACUGCCGAACAUGUCCUUGAAGGAAAGAAUGCCUAUCUUGAGAGCACAGUGCUUUUUCACAAUGAGAUGCAGAGAACUCCAGGAGUGUACAGGACACAUCCUGCUAUUCAUGAUUAGUUUUUAUCUACUUCAUAAACCCCAAGCCCUAAUUCCAAAUUGCAACAAGGAAUGAAAAACAGCUAUGAAAGCUUAUGUUCUUGGGAUUUUCUACUUCUUGAAAAGAAAUAUUCAUUCAUUCAUUUAUGCAAAAAUAUAUAUUGAGCUAGUACCUUCAUAUGUUCAAUUUAUAAAGUUGACCAUUGCUUUUUUAUUCAUGCAUUCAUUCACUUAUCCUUCAACAAUACUUCCUGGUCUCUUGCGGUUCAAUAAAUUAUGUUAGGCACUGUACAUUUAAUGAUGGAUAAGAUCAAGAUGUUCAAGAGCCACAGACCAGUGUAACAGAAUAGAGACUCCAGACAUUAACCCAAACAUAUAUGGCCAAUUAAUAUAUGAUAAAGGAG